rnacentral:tRNA from 1 species
GGCUUGGUGGUCUAGUGGCUAACACUUCUGAUUCGUAUGCAGAAGGCCCUGGGAUCAAUCCCCGGCCCGUUCA